CCUGGACUCUGGGAUAAGCUAANGGAAACGGCGUCUAAUACUGGAUAUGAGACGUGAUCGCAUGGUCGUGUUUGGAAAGAUUUUUCGGUCUGGGAUGGGCUCGCGGCCUAUCAGCUUGUUGGUGAGGUAAUGGCUCACCAAGGCGUCGACGGGUAGCCGGCCUGAGAGGGUGACCGGCCACACUGGGACUGAGACACGGCCCAGACUCCUACGGGAGGCAGCAGUGGGGAAUAUUGCACAAUGGGCGGAAGCCUGAUGCAGCAACGCCGCGUGAGGGAUGACGGCCUUCGGGUUGUAAACCUCUUUUAGCAGGGAAGAAGCGAAAGUGACGGUACCUGCAGAAAAAGCGCCGGCUAACUACGUGCCAGCAGCCGCGGUAAUACGUAGGGCGCAAGCGUUAUCCGGAAUUAUUGGGCGUAAAGAGCUCGUAGGCGGUUUGUCGCGUCUGCUGUGAAAUCCCGAGGCUCAACCUCGGGCCUGCAGUGGGUACGGGCAGACUAGAGUGCGGUAGGGGAGAUUGGAAUUCCUGGUGUAGCGGUGGAAUGCGCAGAUAUCAGGAGGAACACCGAUGGCGAAGGCAGAUCUCUGGGCCGUAACUGACGCUGAGGAGCGAAAGGGUGGGGAGCAAACAGGCUUAGAUACCCUGGUAGUCCACCCCGUAAACGUUGGGAACUAGUUGUGGGGACCAUUCCACGGUUUCCGUGACGCAGCUAACGCAUUAAGUUCCCCGCCUGGGGAGUACGGCCGCAAGGCUAAAACUCAAAGGAAUUGACGGGGACCCGCACAAGCGGCGGAGCAUGCGGAUU
rnacentral:rRNA from 1 species